rnacentral:rRNA from 1 species
AUUGAACGCUGGCGGCAGGCCUAACACAUGCAAGUCGAACGAGUGGCGGACGGGUGAGUAAUGUCUGGGAAACUGCCUGAUGGAGGGGGAUAACUACUGGAAACGGUAGCUAAUACCGCAUACCCUCAGAUGUGCCCAGGUGGGAUUAGCUAGUAGGUGGGGUAACGGCUCACCUAGGCGACGAUCCCUAGCUGGUCUGAGAGGAUGACCAGCAACACUGGGACUGAGACACGGCCCAGACUCCUACGGGAGGCAGCAGUGGGGAAUAUUGCACAAUGGGCGCAAGCCUGAUGCAGCCAUGCCGCGUGUAUGAAGAAGGCCUUAGGGUUGUAAAGUACGUUCAGCGGGGAGGCGUUACCGGCAGAAGAAGCACCGGCUAACUCCGUGCCAGCAGCCGCGGUAAUUC